UGUCUCGGCCCCUGCGUUAUCGUAUAAACAUCUCGCCUUUUACUAAUAUUUCGAGCGGUGGGCACAUUAUGAGAAUUGAAACAAUUUUUCCUAGCUGCCGAAAGGUGGGCUACA
rnacentral:snRNA from 1 species